rnacentral:lncRNA from 1 species
AUAUCCGUCAUCGUGGUUGGAGUUAGGGUAUCCACUGUUGGCACCACCACGGAUGAUAUUGGCGGCAACUAGAAGUUCGGUGGGUUUUCCAACUUUUUUUAUGUCGGUGAAUAUAUGUUUGCAUUUUUUUUUUAUGUCAGUGAAUAGUAUGUUUGGAUAAAGUGUCCCAUAAAUUUGAAUGAUACCAUGAGUUGCAUUAAUGAUGUAGGAUACAUCUGCAAAUCCGAUUCUACUAAUAAUUGAAAAAGGUCAUAUUAACUGGUGUCUCCAGCACACUGAUUAAGGAAGACAAAAAAAGAAA